AUACUAUGGCAGGGGAGAUACCAUGAUCACGAAGGUAGUUUUCCCAGGAUGAGGCUCAUCCAUUGCAUUCCAGAUGUCUUGACUCGGGAUUUCCCCAAAUGAGGGAAACUUGACUGCAUAAUUUGUGGUAGUAGGGAACUGUGUUCAUGCUCUCCCCUC
ensembl:snRNA U1 U1 spliceosomal RNA